GGCAUCGCGGUGCAGUGGUUAGCUCUUCCGCCUCACAGCAAGAAGGUCGUGGGUUCGAAUCCGGCCUGAGGCCU